rnacentral:misc_RNA from 1 species
UAGUAACCUCAGUCCGCG